rnacentral:ncRNA from 2 species
AAGCGUCUCACGGGGAGCCUCAAGCCGAGGCUGAGAGGUGGUCAGGCCACCGACCCGUCGAACCUGAUCCGGGUCAUGCCGGCGGAGGGAAUGAGCAUGCGACAUCGC